rnacentral:tRNA from 1 species
GGGCUGGGGCUCAGUGGUAGAGUGCUUCCCUAGCAUGCAUGUGUGAGGCACUGGGUUUGAUUCCCAGCAACACA